CAAUGAACAGUUCCUCUUUUUCCCCUGCUCUGUGACCAUGUUUGCUUGUAGGGACCUCUGUCUUCCCCGGAAAAGAGAGUUCAAGUACAAUGAUGGGAUACAGAUCAGAGCUCGGAGCCUAAACAGGACCUCACAGCUUCUACAACAAAUCUCCGUAUCUGAAAGUGAAGAAGGAAUUAAUUCUGUGUGGUAAAAAGCAUGCACUGCUCUGGGCUCAGGAGACACUGGCUCCUGUGCAGCUUCUUUCUGGGAAACUGUGUUUGGUAAGAUGCUCUUAAGAGAGACAAUGAAAUAAACAGAAACUGCUGCAUGGUCCUUAAAGGAUGUUCUAUGGCUUAUGGACUGAUGCUGCUGCUGGAGGACUCAAAAAAA